rnacentral:rRNA from 1 species
UACGAGGGGGGCGAGCGUUGUUCGGAAUUAUUGGGCGUAAAGGGCGCGUAGGCGGUCGGAUAAGUCUUGUGUGAAAUCUCCGGGCUCAACUCGGAGUCUGCACGAGAAACUAUCUGGCUUGAGUGUGGGAGAGGUGAGUGGAAUUCCUGGUGUAGCGGUGAAAUGCGUAGAUAUCAGGAGGAACACCUGUGGCGAAAGCGGCUCACUGGACCACAACUGACGCUGAGGAACGAAAGCUAGGGGAGCAAACAGG